AAAACAAAGACCACAACAUCAAGUGAAAUCCCUGGCUUCAGGAGAAAUGGAGAACAAAUGAUCAGGCAUAAUCACCAUCUUCAUGACCUUCAGGAUUGAAUACUGCCCCAGGUGUCUGAUGCCCUGCAUGAGAAUGAAGCUAUUCUAGAUCAGGAUGCAAGUGCUGUCACUGAAGUGAAAACCACGAGUAAAGGUCUGCUCCUUGCUGCCAUAAGAACAGUGCCCUUUCCCCACCCAUCCCAACCAGUGCAUCCUACAAGCAAAAAAAAGGAACUUUGAACAUUUUUAUUUUCCUGUGGUACUAGUUAGGGUGGUGAGUCAAAAUGCAUCACUCAAAUAUCUUAAAGCUGGGCCUCUGCGAAGAUAAAAAGGUGGAAAGAAAAUUUGCUGUUUAGCUCUAAUUUAUUUAUAAAACUCAGUAAAUUUUCCAUAUCUGAUUAUAUAAAGGAUAAAGAAAAAAAGAAGCUGCAUUCUUUCACAAUCACAAACCAGCUCAGAUUAAAGGACGUUCUGAAGCACAUGAUUAUCCCAAAAGGACAAUAAAAUGUAGGGGACUAAUGGACUGCAAUUUAGUAUUUCUUGAGCUUUACAAGCUAACAUUUUUAUGUGAAGGCCAAGUGUAAUUUGAAAAUCUUCCUUUGGCACAUUUGUAUAAGAGCACUUUUGAUAAUGAUGGCCAUGAUCCAACAUAUAUUCAUAAGGCUUCACGUUACAGUAUACUUCAUUUGCUGCCAGCUUGGCAUCUCCACUGGAAACUCCAAGAAAAACAAAACAAAACAAAAAACUUCAAGUAAGUCUGAAACACAGCUAGAAGGGUCCAUUCCUUUCUGGCUGGGCUGGAGAAGACUUUUAAAAUGCAAUUUCAUCUACAUUCUUGGCUGCCAGUGGUGCUUAAAUUAAUUAGACUAAAUCGGUCAGAAAUAUUAAAUAUAAUACAUUUAACUAGGCAUGGUAAGUGAGUGAACUGUUUUAUGUUUUAGUCUCUUCUUCCUUGCCCUUCUAUGUCUUCUGUAAAUUUCUGUGAAAAAAUGGUAAGCACUAUAGACAUCUAAACAUUACAUAGUUCAGGAGUCAGAAAAUAAUGUCCGGUAAAUGGGCCUAAAUUAUUGAUCUUAAUAUUGAAACCAUCACAACACAUCCAAACUGAUCACUGCAGUCAACACAGUGUGUAUAGGGCUACCAGACAAGGAUGGCUUCUUCCUAACAACGUCCUGAAGGAGCCAGUCCUGAUGACACCCUUUAAGUCUCAUGUUGAACUUUGGACCUCCAGAGCUACGCAGUAAUAACUUUCUAUAGUUUUAAGAUACUUCAGCAAUUUGUUACAGCAGUGAUAGGAAACUCAUACAACUCACAAUACUUAUAUUUGUCAAACACAAUUAUCAAGAGCAUCUAAGGUAUUUAAGAUGCUAUGAGGAACAAAACUGGAGUUGAUAGCACCGCAUUGU